rnacentral:sRNA from 1 species
GCCGGGCGCGGUGGCGCACGCCUGUAAUCCCAGCAGCUCAGGAGGCUGAGGCAGGAGGAUCGCCAGUUCAAAGCCAGCCUCAGCCAAAAAACAAGGCGCUAAGCAACUCAGUGAGACCCUGUCUCUA